rnacentral:rRNA from 1 species
GAUGAACGCUGGCGGCGUGCCUAAUACAUGCAAGUCGAGCGAACAGACGAGGAGCUUGCUCCUCUGACGUUAGCGGCGGACGGGUGAGUAACACGUGGAUAACCUACCUAUAAGACUGGGAUAACUUCGGGAAACCGGAGCUAAUACCGGAUAAUAUAUUGAACCGCAUGGUUCAAUAGUGAAAGACGGUUUUGCUGUCACUUAUAGAUGGAUCCGCUCCGCAUUAGCUAGUUGGUAAGGUAACGGCUUACCAAGGCAACGAUGCGUAGCCGACCUGAGAGGGUGAUCCGCCACACUGGAACUGAGACACGGUCCAGACUCCUACGGGAAGCAGCAGUAGGGAAUCUUCCGCAAUGGGCGAAAGCCUGACGGAGCAACGCCGCGUGAGUGAUGAAGGUCUUCGGAUCGUAAAACUCUGUUAUUAGGGAAGAACAAAUGUGUAAGUAACUAUGCACGUCUUGACGGUACCUAAUCAGAAAGCCACGGCUAACUACGUG